UGUUUCUGAUGUCAGGUUUUAGGACUUAUCUGCAGGUAUUAUUUUCCUAAUAUUGAGUACCUAGUUGCUUCAGGAUUAGACUCCAAACUUGUCAGCGUUCCAGACAGGCCCAUCAUGAUCUGGGCUCCUGCCUGUCCCUCUGGUUCCUCUCUCACACCUCCUGAAGCCGCCUUCUCCAUUGCACUUCUGCAAACUUUCCACGUUCUCUUAUGCUCACACUCUGGUACUUGCUGCUUUUCCUGAUAUGGUGGCUGCCUCUUGCCCUUCAGGGGUUUCGUUGUCCCCCGUCCUGGGAACAUUUCCUUGAGCCUCCUCUGCUUCACAGCAGCUGCUGGGUGUUUCUUUCAUACAUUGGUACCGUGUCGCGUGUGCUUCUCUUCAGCAAUCUUUCUUACAAUGAGUGCUUUUCCCUCUCUGUGUCCCCCACUGGAUUGGGAGUUCCUUGAGGGCAAGGGCCAGGCCAGUCACCUCUGUGUUGUCUGGUGCGAUACCCGACCCUGAUGUUUAACUGAUGUUUGUCAAGUGAGAAAGCGAGUGAAUGGAUAUUUAGCUCACUAAUUAUGGCCGUUUGAUCAAGUCGCCAGUUCCUUUGCCAUUUGGAAAUUGCCAUACUUAGACUCUUUCUCAGUGGCCAGGGCUGGGUAAGUUUAUAAGAGGCACGGGUAAAAUCAGAUAGUUUGAAAUAUUUAUCAGAUGACUAAAAUAUGCACGUGAUAGGAGAUGUAAGAAAUAGAUGUGUAAAAUUUUGGAGCAGGGAAGAGACUUACGUAUCAUUUAAUCCAACCCUUCUGAUUUAAAAAAGGUGUAAGAUAUCACGGAGAGGAAGAAGUUAACGUGUCAAGGGCCUCUGUGUUCAACGAGCUUGCAGUGCCGUUGGACAGAUGGUAUGUAUGUACAGAGAUGAAAAAGAUGAUUGAGAAAAAAGUGCUCAAGGAGUAGAAGAGACCAGACUAGUCAAGCUAUUUUAAGCAAACAUCCACAGAAGAAAAAAUAUCAAAAGAAUGCGGUAAGUGACAACAUCAGCAGUUUAACAGUUAUCAAAGAAUAGGGGAUAUUUUUAUCAGGUAAAUCACUUGUUAUUGUUGUCAACUGCUUGGACAAUAACUAAAGAAACUGACCAAAGAUUAACCACCAGCUUUCAAUGACUUUGCCUGUAACUCUUAUUGAUAGGAUAUGUUUUAAAUUGCCUCAGUAUUACUUAGGAAAUAACCUAGUUAUAAUUAGACUUCUAAAAAACUUUGUUUUGAAAUAAUUACUGAUUCACAGUCACUCGCAAAGACAGUGCAGAAAGAAGUCAUGUGCCCUCCUCCUUGUCUUCCCUGAGGUAACCAUAGUAUUUUAUCAAGGCCUAGAAAUUGACAUCGGUACAAUGUGUUUUGUAAUUUUAUACCAUUGUAUCACAUUCUAUAUCAUGGAACCACCUCUACAUCAAGGUAUAGAAUUAUUCCAUCACCACGAACACAAUUUAGACAACUCAAGAGGAUAAGGAAGGAAGGAAAGUCUAUUGCAUUUACCCGUAUUUUUCUUACUGCGUUCAUUCUUUCUUCCUGAUACUACAAGAUUUCUUAUUUUAUCAUUUCCUUUCAGUUUAGGGAACUUCGUUUAGCCUUUGUUUUAGAGUAGGUCUUCAGGCAACAAAUUCUUAGUUUUCCUUCCUCUGAGAAUACAUUGAUUUCCCCUUCAUUCCUGAAGGAUAUUUUUGCUGGAUAUCAGAUUCUGGGCUGACGGUUGCUUCCUUUCCACAUUCGAAAAAUCUCGUGUGCCCUUCCUUAUGGCCUCCGUGAUUUACUGCUGAAAAAAUUUGUCAUGGGACUCGCUUUCCCCUAUAGGUGAGGUGGCAUUUCUCUGUCUCUCUCUUAUUUAAGGAUGUUUUUCUUUGUCAAAGUAUGACUGUAAUGUAUAUUAGGUUUCUUCAGGUUUACCCAAUUUGGGGUUCACACAGCCUCGUGAAUCUGUAAGCUUAUUUCUUUUGCCAAAUUUGGAGAGUUUUCAGCCAUUAUUCCUUUGAGUAUGUUUUCAGCUGCACCCUAUUUUUCUCUCCUUCUUGGACUCUGAUGAUGUGAACGUUAAAUCUUUUCUUAUAGUCCCCUAAGUCCUGAUGUUUUAUUUUUUUCUCUCCCUUUUGUGUAGGUUGGGUAAUUAAUUAUAUUCUGUCUUUGAGUCCACUGAUUAUUCUCUUCUGCCCCAUUCAUUCUGCUGUUGAGCCUUUCUGCUGAGUAUUUUAUUUCACUUAUAUUUUUCAUGUUUAAAAGUUC